rnacentral:rRNA from 1 species
GAUCAUGGCUCAGGAUAAACGCUGGCGGCGCACAUAAGACAUGCAAGUCGAACGGAAGUCGUUACGAAAUGGAAUGAAGAUUUAUCUGAUUGAAGUUUUGUAACAAUGGCUUUAGUGGCGGACUGGUAAGUAACACGGUAAGCAAUCUACCUACUAGAGGGGAAUAACAAUGAGAAAUCAUUGCUAAUACCGCAUAAGCUUGUAGUACCGCAUGGUACAGCAAGAAAAGGAGCAAUCCG